GGGGUUUGACAUGUCGAUGACGCAGGCAGAGAUGUCUGUUUCUUUCGGGACGUCGACACAGGUGCUGCAUGGCUGUCGUCAGCUCGUGUCGUGAGAUGUUGGGUUAAGUCCCGCAACGAGCGCAACCCUUGUCUCUAGUUACCAGCGAGUAAUGUCGGGGACUCUAGAGAGACUGCCGGUGACAAACUGGAGGAAGGUGGGGAUGACGUCAAGUCCUCAUGGCCCUUACAUCCCGGGCUACACACGUGCUACAAUGGUUAGGACAAUGAGAAGCAAUAUCGCGAGGUGGAGCAAAUCUAUAAACCUAAUCUCAGUUCGGAUUGUAGUCUGCAACUCGACUACAUGAAGCUGGAAUCACUAGUAAUCGUAGAUCAGCUAUGCUACGGUGAAUACGUUCCCGGGUCU
rnacentral:rRNA from 1 species